rnacentral:piRNA from 1 species
UGCAUAGAACGAACCUUUUUC